AACGAACGCUGGCGGCAGGCUUAACACAUGCAAGUCGAGCGCAUCCUUCGGGGUGAGCGGCAGACGGGUGAGUAACGCGUGGGAACGUUCCCUUUCCUACGGAAUAGCUCCGGGAAACUGGAAUUCAUACCGCAUCCGCCCCUAGCGGGACAGAUUUAUCGGGGAAGGAUCGGCCCGCGUUGGAUUAGCUAGUUGGUGGGGUAAAGGCCUACCAAGGCGACGAUCCAUAGCUGGUCUGAGAGGAUGAUCAGCCACAUUGGGACUGAGACACGGCCCAAACUCCUACGGGAGGCAGCAUUUGGGAAUAUUGGCCAAUGGGCGCAAGCCUGAUCCAGCCAUGCCGCGUGAGUGAUGAAGGCCUUAGGGUUGUAAAGCUCUUUCAGUAGGGAAGAUAAUGACGGUACCUACAGAAGAAGCCCCGGCUAACUUCGUGCCAGCCGCCGCGGUAA
rnacentral:rRNA from 1 species